GGUGUAGCAUUUUGCUUAUACUGUGAGAAUGGCUGUGUUGUAUUUGGCUAAUUCCCCCUGAAUUUGGGGAAAGAGAUUUGAAUGAAGGAAACUUCGGUGAGAGGUAUGGCUUGCCAAAGAGACAAUUCUUACCUUUUUUUCCCCAGUUGUUUGUUAGUUCAGUUACACAUUGUACAGGAGGCAGUGAUUCAAGACCAUCCCCAAGAAAAAGAAAUGCAAAAAGACAAAAUGGUUGUCUGAGGAGGCCUUACAAAUAGCUGUGAAAAGAAGAGAAGCGAGAGGCAAAGGAGAAAAGGAAAGAUAUAAGCAUCUGAAUGAAGAGUUCCAAAGAAUAGCAAGGAGAGAUAAGAAAGCCUUCCUCAGUGAUCAAUGCAAAGAAAUAGAGGAAAACAAUAGAGUGGGAAAGACUAGAGGUCUCUUCAAGAAAAUUAGAGAUACCAAGGGAAAUUUCAUGCAAAGAUGGGCACAAUAAAGGACAGAAAUGGCAUGGACCUAACAGAAGCAGAAGAUAUUAAGAAGAGAUGAUUAGAAUACA
ensembl:lncRNA